rnacentral:lncRNA from 1 species
GGGCAGGAAGGGAGAAAGAUCAGGAAUCAGGGUAUUGAAUUGGAGAUGAGGAGAUCAGGAUUUAAGUAUAAAACUAGAAGAGAUGAAAACGACAGAAGAUAUGGGGUAUAAGUUUAUUCUUGUGCACAAACCAAGGUAUGUGACUCACACUCAAUAUGCAAAGGAAAUGAACAAUGUCCAGAUCAAGCAGCAAAUGUGAUGGGCGAUGACAAACUGCAAAAGACAGAGGGACAGACUCAAAGGAAGCAGCACAGAUACCACCUGUUUUUCCAACAGAGCACACACUCUCACAUCCUGCCACCAUCAUCCCCCUUCACUCUAACAUUCUUUUCCCUCAAAUUUUCCCCAAUACCCCUUUCUGUAGAUGGUUGGUUUCUUAUUACCCAAUUUUACUCUCUGCCAACACUACACUCUCCCUCACCACGCUCCUCUCCGUGCUCAAUCAGUUUCAUUCAUAUCUGUUCUGCUCCUGGUUUCUAGCUCACUUUCCACAUAAUGGCUCUUUUCUCCUUCCUUUCUAUCUUAGGUUCAUGAAGCAACAAAGCCAAUAAUUUGUCAUUCUCCAAGGACAUUUUCUUUUUCUUUUCAUUUCCUGGAUGUUUGGUUGCUCAGCAUGGGCCUCUCAAGUUACUAACUUUCUGAAAUCCUGAGAAAUAGAGUUCUUAGUUCUAUUCCUGGUCCAGCUGGUAUAACUCAACCCAUAUAAACUGCCCCGGCCCUUUGAGUCUCCUCAUACUCUGUGAGUUUCACAAGAUGCUCUACACCUGCUACAGAUGAUGAUCUUUAGUGAGUUUCUCCUGCCAGACAAUCCAUGUGGGGAUGGCUGACACUUCUUUCAUCAGUUCAACGGUAAGACUCAGACUGGGUCUUUAUCUAGAACUCUCCCCUUACUCUUGCCUCAGACAAAAGAGCACAUCUGUACACACACACACACACACACACACACACACACCCCUAGGAAUAUGCCAGCCAAGCUUAGGAAAGAAGAGUCAGGAGCAGCAAGCAUCUCAGUGCAAACAGGGGCCAGUCCAGUCCCUUUGAUGCCCAUCCGGUGGUGACGUCUUUGCCCAAAGUCUCAGUGAUAACUUCUCUGUGUCUUUCCCACUGAAUGUCGAAACAAAGCCCACAGAGAAAGCACAAAUGUAGAGAUAUAGAGGCCAGUGGAGGAGAGUAGGUGAAGAGACCUAGAGUUAAGACAGAGAUCCAGGCAAGGAACUACAGAGACAAAAAGAAGCACAGACACCAAAGCAGAGCUGGCAGGUCUGAAAGCAGCAGGAAGGUUGAAAGCCAGGAGGAAGCUAGGGCAUGGGACACCUACUCCAAAACUAUCACUGGCAGGAGGGAAUUUAGCCUCCACAUGCCUGGGGCGGGCCGAGGGGGCGGGGGUGUUAGUAAGAGAAGCAACUUUAGGAACU